rnacentral:lncRNA from 1 species
GCGAGCUCUGGAAAUCAGCGCGGUGUUGGGAGAGCGUCGGUGAACUGGGAUGAAAAAGCUACAGAGAAGCCUGGAAUUUCAUGUGCAUGCCUACAGCAACUGGAUUCUAUCAGCAACUCACACUAUCAGGAAGAGGGCUUCAUCAGAUGAGAGCAGACCUCCUGCUCACUGCCUCUAAGUUUGAAACCAGCUCUAAAGGGGAGAUAACAAAAAACAGCAAAAUCAGAGGAGCAGAGGUGUCUGGCAAGAACCUUAGGAAGCCUACUGGAAAGAAGGUUCUCAGUGGAUCUGGUUCCAUCACCACUACGUUUCAACCAGAUGCUGUCAUUCAGCAUUUCAAAGAGAAUCAGAAAGGUAACCUGAUGAAGACCUUAAAGAUAUAAAGGCCAACCAUGGAGGCAGGGGGUACUUAAAAACAGAUGCGAUGGAGUGAAUCCAGGUUUGCCCGUGAAACUUUGUUUUUUACAUGAGAAGAACGACAGCUUCAGUAUAUAAUAAAUCGCGAAUUUUUUAAGAGAACAAAAAGAGGUCUUUAAGCCGACCGAGAAAGAACGCAGCCAAAAGGAUCAAGCUGACCAUCGCAGGGCUAACUUACGAAGACCUCGCUGUUCGGUUCCACAUGAAAGACGCUCAAAAGGCAGGGCAACGGACGACAACACAGAGCCCUGGCACAGACUGGAGGCGCACCGACAGAGCAGACAGAGCUACGGGUGCAGCACCGCCGCACCGCUCUCCUCACGGCGCGGC